rnacentral:rRNA from 1 species
UGCUUAACACAUGCAAGUCGAACGAUGAACCUCCUUCGGGAGGGGAUUAGUGGCGAACGGGUGAGUAACACGUGGGCAAUCUGCCCUGCACUCUGGGACAAGCCCUGGAAACGGGGUCUAAUACCGGAUAUGAGCCUGGGAGGCAUCUCCCGGGUUGUAAAGCUCCGGCGGUGCAGGAUGAGCCCGCGGCCUAUCAGCUUGUUGGUGAGGUAACGGCUCACCAAGGCGACGACGGGUAGCCGGCCUGAGAGGGCGACCGGCCACACUGGGACUGAGACACGGCCCAACUCCUACGGGAGGCAGCAGUGGGGAAUAUUGCACAAUGGGCGCAAGCCUGAUGCAGCGACGCCGCGUGAGGGAUGACGGCCUUCGGGUUGUAAACCUCUUUCAGCAGGGAAGAAGCGAAAGUGACGGUACCUGCAGAAGAAGCGCCGGCUAACUACGUGCCAGCAGCCGCGGUAAUACGUAGGGCGCAAGCGUUGUCCGGAAUUAUUGGGCGUAAAGAGCUCGUAGGCGGCUUGUCACGUCGGAUGUGAAAGCCCGGGGCUUAACCCCGGGUCUGCAUUCGAUACGGGCAGGCUAGAGUUCGGUAGGGGAGAUCGGAAUUCCUGGUGUAGCGGUGAAAUGCGCAGAUAUCAGGAGGAACACCGGUGGCGAAGGCGGAUCUCUGGGCCGAUACUGACGCUGAGGAGCGAAAGCGUGGGGAGCGAACAGGAUUAGAUACCCUGGUAGUCCACGCCGUAAACGGUGGGCACUAGGUGUGGGCAACAUUCCACGUUGUCCGUGCCGCAGCUAACGCAUUAAGUGCCCCGCCUGGGGAGUACGGCCGCAAGGCUAAAACUCAAAGGAAUUGACGGGGGCCCGCACAAGCGGCGGAGCAUGUGGCUUAAUUCGACGCAACGCGAAGAACCUUACCAAGGCUUGACAUACACCGGAAACGUCCAGAGAUGGGCGCCCCCUUGUGGUCGGUGUACAGGUGGUGCAUGGCUGUCGUCAGCUCGUGUCGUGAGAUGUUGGGUUAAGUCCCGCAACGAGCGCAACCCUUGUCCCGUGUUGCCAGCAGGCCCUUGUGGUGCUGGGGACUCACGGGAGACCGCCGGGGUCAACUCGGAGGAAGGUGGGGACGACGUCAAGUCAUCAUGCCCCUUAUGUCUUGGGCUGCACACGUGCUACAAUGGCCGGUACAAAGAGCUGCGAUACCGCGAGGUGGAGCGAAUCUCAAAAAGCCGGUCUCAGUUCGGAUUGGGGUCUGCAACUCGACCCCAUGAAGUCGGAGUCGCUAGUAAUCGCAGAUCAGCAUUGCUGCGGUGAAUACGUUCCCGGGCCUUGUACACACCGCCCGUCACGUCACGAAAGUCGGUAACACCCGAAGCCGGUGGCCCAACCCCUUGUGGGAGGGAGCUGUCGAAGGUGGGACUGGC